GAUGAACGCUGGCGGCGUGCCUAAUACAUGCAAGUCGAGCGAAUGGAUUAAGAGCUUGCUCUUAUGAAGUUAGCGGCGGACGGGUGAGUAACACGUGGGUAACCUGCCCAUAAGACUGGGAUAACUCCGGGAAACCGGGGCUAAUACCGGAUAACAUUUUGAACCGCAUGGUUCGAAAUGGAAAGGCGGCUUCGGCUGUCACUCAUGGAUGGACCCGCGUCGCAUUAGCUAGUUGGUGAGGUAACGGCUCACCAAGGCAACGAUGCGUAGCCGACCUGAGAGGGUGAUCGGCCACACUGGGACUGAGACACGGCCCAGACUCCUACGGGAGGCAGCAGUAGGGAAUCUUCCGCAAUGGACGAAAGUCUGACGGAGCAACGCCGCGUGAGUGAUGAAGGCUUUCGGGUCGUAAAACUCUGUUGUUAGGGAAGAACAAGUGCUAGUUGAAUAAGCUGGCACCUUGACGGUACCUAACCAGAAAGCCACGGCUAACUACGUGGCAGCCGCCGCCGUAA
rnacentral:rRNA from 1 species